rnacentral:tRNA from 1 species
UGCCCCAUGGCUGAGUUGGUUACAGCGUCCGACUGUUAUGAAGUAAGGUUCCUUACAUGACAUCGCCAUCGGAAGGUCGUGAGUUCGAGCCUCACUGGGGCAG